rnacentral:lncRNA from 1 species
UAAUAUAUAUAAGUUUACAGGUACAUACUGUUUGAAUACAUACUAUUACAUACACAGUACUGGCAAUAAAUUUCCCAUACUUAGGUGAAUAUUUGGUUGGUUAAGUUAUUGUGGUUUACCAGGAGAGUAAUUGGGGUCUGAACUAGAGUGGCGAUAGGGUUAUGGCACUGAAGAUGGGUAUUUGGAAGAGCCUGACCCCUAAACGUAAGAAGGAAAAGUCAAGGUGCCUGUUUUUUGUGUGUGUGUGUUUGCUGGGGAUUGAACCCAGGGCCUUGUGCAUGAGAGGCAAGCAAGCACUCUACCAACUGAGCCAUAUCCCCAGCCCUAGGUGCCUGGUUUUAAAACUUGAAAAUGGUGAUGUUAGAGAUGUAAGGAGGUCUCGCCAUCCUGGUUUGGGGAGCCAGGAGAAAAAGGAGAGAAGAAUAUAUCAAAACAUUGGCAGGGCAGGUAAAAAGAUGCUGAAGCUCAAAGGGGAGAGCUUGAUGUGAGAGGUUUGGGGAUCCAAAAGGGCAUAGAUCGUUUAGGGCAUGGAAGCACAUUACAAGCAUAAAGGACAAUUGCAAUGUAAAUAGAGUUAAAGAGGAAAAUCAUGUGUUGAAGAGAAUGCCAAAUGGAACUAGUUUUAGUUUUGGUCCUUGAAGAAGUUUAGCAUGGGAUUCAACUUAGCAAUACUCUUUCUCAAAAUAAAAGGGAUUCUUAAUGUCAGCAGAUAGGUUGAGAAAUAAAGGUAAUUGAAGAAAGGUCAUUCAUUGAUACUCUAAUAAUUCAAGGGUACAUUUGAGCAUUUAGGUCCCAGGGGGAGAAACCAGAUUCAAGGGGCAGAAGCAUACUGAUGGAAAGAAGGUGUAUAGGCAGUAUGGAUAGCUUAUAGCAGUAUUGCCCGUUUGGCAGUGAUGGUUGGUAUAGUGGUAGUCAUUAGCCGUAUGUGGUUGAAAAGCACUCAAAAUGUGGCUAGGCUAGAAUAUGAGAUAGCUAAAAUUCUCAUUUAUUUUUAGUUCAUUUCAAUUUAAUUAGCCACAUGUGUCUAGUGGUUACUCUAUUGGACCAGUGCAGUUCUAGACAUUUAGUAUUUUUGAGCAGAACUUGGCUUUGGUGCAGAAAAAUAUUUCUUAGAAAGGAAAGAAGAGAAUAGAGAUUGAGAGAAAAGGGAGGUAUUUCAGCUUUGGUAGCUCCUACUUUAUCCCACGGGCAGGACUAUUGUGAGCAAAGAUAGCCCUACAAGCUAGGGCAGUGGAAUAAAACACAAAAUACCAUGUAGUGCCCAGUGUUAAUGAAAAUUCCUCUUUUAAUGCUCUGUAUCCUUUAAGGAGCCAUCCUUUAUUACUUGAGCCUGGACUAGCUGUGAGGUUAAGGCUAAGCAUCGAACCAAAGCACUUGGCCCCUUAACUUCUUCCCCUCCAGGAACCACAGGCUAUUCCUGUAGUUUCGAUGAGGAACAAAGUGUGGCUGAACCCAGGUAUCUGAAGGGAGGAACUGACCUGCUAUGUUCCGCAGGCUUACCUUAGCCCACACCAGUUUCCUCCUUUCAUGGGAUAUUGUUCAAAUAUUGCCUGGCUCCAGAGGAUGAUUCUCUAAUAGGGCAUUGCUAAACUACCAGACCCAAUGGGUUCUCUGCUUUGCCUUGUUUUGUGUUGCUUUACUGUUUCCUGGGACCCAAGAACCUUAAUGAACUAGUAUCCAAUCCUGAAUUUCCAGUUAUUAGGGCAGAGUUCAAAGCUAAGUUCAAGGUGAGAUGACAACUGACAUUUGUCUUUCUGACCUUAGUUU